CCCAUCUGAAUGGACUCUCUUUUAGUUUCAAACCUUUUCCCCCUUGUCUCUUGCAAUUGGCCCUGCUAAUUAGAUGUGUCCCCAUCUUUCUCCAAAGCCCCUUCAAUUAUUGAACUUGUCUCCUCGGGGCUUGUCCUUCUCCAGGCCAAAGAAGCCCAGUUCUCACAGGUGUUCCUCAGAGGAGAGCUCCCAGCUUCUGGUCAUUUCUGAGGCCCUCUUUUGCUCUCGGGUGCUGUUUUCAGGUUUACCUGCUAGCGAAGGAACUGAAGUAUCGCAAUGCUGGGGACAGAGGCCCACAGUGGCGUUUGGAAAACACAACGAAAGCAGUCCCUGACAAGCGGUUCUAGGUUGAUCUGUGGGAAGGCAGGGGCUGUGGGAGGCUGACUGUGAGCCUCAGAGGGGACCCAGCUUGUCCCUCCUGCCCCACUCUUAGAAGUUGCUGCCAGCCAAACAAGGACAGCUGAGCAGCAUUUGUGCCAGCCCCAUGUGCUACCUGGCCCGGUCAAGUCAGUGAGAAGCGCUGCGGCUUUGCUGCCAGCUUUUGUGUUAGACAGGGAGCUGGUGACCAGGCCACUUCCUUGGCUGUCCCUGCUGUGGUGGAAGAUGCCAGCCAGCACAGGAGGGGCAGGGCAUGCUAAGGAACACACUUCUCUCCUUGCAAGCCAAGAAGAGAACUGAGUCUAUUUGCACUUUGCUGCUUGUGUCUGUGCAUUUCUGGGCACUAGAGGAAACCAGCUUGAGCCUGUUAGGAGCUCAGUUUGGAAAAGAAUGGUUUCUUUUGCCUUUGUCUCUUGUAAUUUGGUUUCUUUUGUUUCUCUUUCUUUCUUGGGCAGCAUCCAUUCCUCAAAUUAGCCAAGCCUCUCUUCGGCCUCUUCUGACAGCCCAAUUGCUGCCAUCCCUGCAGCAAAGUAAUGCAGGAAACAGAGGAGAUGGCAAGGACCACUUCAGCACUUGGAGAACAGAGCCUCUGAGAACAGGCAGACACCCUGAGGAGCGAGGGGCCAGGAAACAACAGGCGGCCAUCAGAACAGGAGAGGAAGCAGGCAAACAAGAUGGAACGACAGCGUUUGCAGGCACAGCAGCUGCUGGAGCAACGGGAACACUUCCCGGCAGAGGUGCAGAGGGAGCAGGAGAAAUAGCGGCUUGAGAUGAAGCAGGAAGUUGCCAUCAUUCAAGCUACCAAGAAGAGGUAUGAAGCAGAGCCAAUCAAGAGGCAAAGGAUCACAAGGGCCCCCGCCACAUAAAUCUCCACUCCAGGUGCUUUGCAAAUGAAAAUGAAGGAAAUUUGCAGGGAAGCAAUCGAGGAAGCAGAGAGCAUGACCAGGUGCACUUCAGCAUUACUUUCUCCAAUGCCAGCUCACAGCCAGAAUAAAAACAUCUUUAAAACCCUCAA